rnacentral:lncRNA from 1 species
CUGAAACUCUCGGAAGUAUCAUAUGCCAUCCUUGCAUGAACAAGUCAACAAACACACACAAACACAUUUUGUAUAUGUAUGCUAAAGUUCUCUAUUAUAUAUUUGAGAGAUUCUUGUGAGAUGAUGCCUUCACUACUUUCCGCAAGGCAUUUUUGAAUAGGUGCGAUGAUUUGCAUCAUUUAUCAGCGGCUGAAAGAAAGUCAUAGAUAGGGCACAAGGAUAAUUGUAAAUCAUUGGGAGGCAUAACCUCUCCGACAGGAUUAUCCUUACCAGGUAACAAAUGACAAAUAUGCUUGUCCUUUAUGACUGCCUUCCAUUUCAUAUCUCGCAAAUACAAAUAAUGUUCCAGCACAAAUUUGUUUGGCAGAAAAUCUUGACGAGUAGCACAAUGAAAGUUCACCAACUGUGAGUAGCCGAGUAAUCUUUAUCACUUUGAUUAAUUCUCUCUGUGUUUUUCUCUAUGUACUUGUGUAUAUGUGUAUCUGUGCAUAUAAUCAUGGCAGAAUUUGGAAGGUAUUUUCGUUUAUAGGUUAGGUCUAAUGUGUUUGUACUCACCGCACCAAAGCAGAGGCCUGGAACGAGACCCUUAUUGAAGAAGCCAUAUGAUAGAAGAGAGAUUGCGGGGACAGAAUUGAUUAUGGCAAAUACAUCGUUCAG